rnacentral:rRNA from 1 species
GGAUGCGAUCAUACCAGCACUAAAGCACCGGAUCCCAUCAGAACUCCGAAGUUAAGCGUGCCUGGGCGAGAGUAGUACUAGGAUGCGUGACCUCCUGGGAAGUCCUCGUGUUGCAUUUC